UACGUAGGGGGCAAGCGUUGUCCGGAUUUAUUGGGGUUAAAGGGUGCGUAGGUGGCCCUGUAAGUCAGUGGUGAAAUAUCUCAGCUUAACUGAGAGGGUGCCAUUGAUACUGCAGGGCUUGAGUACAGAUGAGGUAGGCGGAAUUGACGGUGUAGCGGUGAAAUGCAUAGAUAUCGUCAAGAACACCGAUAGCGAAGGCAGCUUACCAAGCUGUAACUGACACUGAGGCACGAAAGUGUGGGGAUCAAACAGG
rnacentral:rRNA from 1 species